UCACAUUCAUCACACUCACCUGAAAUAUGGAUUUAUAAGAGAGGGGUGAGUAAUUUGGGGAAAUUACUCAGUGAGAACCAAACCAGACUACCUUCCCACUCAUUUAUUUUCCACCAACAUGUCAAGAAUAAAUCCAACAAGCAACACACAAGCAUCCUAGCGAUGCACAAACAACUAGCCAGCAAUGAUGUCUCCAACCCGCCUAUCACACAAGGCCACACCUCCCAGUCACACAGCUUCACAAUAUUUAGUUCCUCUGUAACACCCCGGUCCUGGGUUCCAAAGGAAACCAGACUAAACCGGCAGUAUUAUCUAACCUAACCAAUAAUUCCUGAAUAAUCCUUAAAUCUUAUUCCAAAUCGGGAUCCUCUAGAGUCGACUUCAAUUCGGUUGAGCGCUGAAUAAAUCCGAAAAUAAUCAGAAAACAAUAUCUAAAAAGAAAAUACAAAAAAAAGUUCUUAAAGCGAUAAAAAUCUUCCUCCAUCUCUAAAAGCACACCACACUAGAGCUACUCGUCUAGUUCCUCCCAGACAUCAUCACAAUCACAUUCAUCACACUCACCCGAAAUAUGGAUUUAAAAGAGAGGGGUGAGUAAUUUGGGGAAAUUACUCAGUGAGAACCAAACCAGGCUCCCUUCCCACUCAUUUAUUUUCCACCAACAUGUCAAGAAUAAAUCCAACAAGCAACACACAAGCAUCCUAGCGAUGCACAAACAACUAGCAAGCAAUGAUGUCUCCAACCCGCCUAUCACACAAGGCCACACCUCCCAGUCACACAGCUUCACAAUAUUCAGUCC
rnacentral:lncRNA from 1 species